GUGAGCCGCAUGCGGGGAGACCCGCACGUAUGGUUUUCAGGGGGAUCCGGUCGGUCGGCGCCCACCCGAC
rfam:Triticum urartu cultivar G1812 contig235463, whole genome shotgun sequence.